rnacentral:rRNA from 1 species
UACGAAGGGGGGCUAGCGUUGCUCGGAAUUACUGGGCGUAAAGGGAGCGUAGGCGGACAUUUAAGUCAGGGGUGAAAUCCCGAGGCUCAACCUCGGAACUGCCUUUGAUACUGGGGAUCUCGAGUCCGGGAGAGGUGAGUGGAACUGCGAGUGUAGAGGUGAAAUUCGUAGAUAUUCGCAAGAACACCAGUGGCGAAGGCGGCUUACUGGUCCGGUUCUGGACGCUGAGGCGCGAAAGCGUGGGGAGCAAACAGG